GAUAAGAACAGCGGCGCAGGACGCCUAGCGGCCGGAGCGGAGACCGAGCGGUCCAGCCGCGCAAGUCUGCGGAUGGGGAAGCGGGGACUUGGCCAAGGUCACGCCGCGUCUCCGCGGCCGAGGAUGAACCAAGGUCACGCCACCCGCCCCUGGGCCCUGCCGGUCGGUCUCGAAGGGGUUGAGGGGGAAGGUUUGUUGGAAAAAGGAGGAUGUAGUUAAAGGCAACGGAAGCUGCAGCCUGAGACAUCUGGGAUUUGGAACUGCAAGGAAACGGCGCAUGGGAGGCGUGUGCACUUUGCGUUGAUAGCCUGAACCUCAGGAUGUCUUAGGGGCUGGUGCAUGUCGCCCAUUACAAAGAACAAAUAUUUAUUCUGCAAUCUUUUAUUGAUGCUAAAGGUAAUUGCUUCCUCUUAUGGUAAACAAGAGGGCCAGAAAGGAACACGCGCGCGUGCGUGCGUGUGUACACACAUAAUGUAAAUCAUAAAACAUCAUCGUUUCUGGCAAUAAAUGAGGAGUGUGUGUUGUGGAUGUCAAACAGAUUCUCCAGGAAAAGAUAUACAGACAGAAGCUCUCCAGAAAGGAAAACUGGUGUAUGACCUGUGAAUGUUCUCAGCAACCCAGAACAAACCAAGUACCAUGCAGAUGCCCUAAACGUACCAAAAAUCCUGUGCAGUAUCUGUCUUCAAUACUCUCAGCAAGCUAGGAAUAGAAGCAAACAUUCACCACCUGAUAAAGGACACCUAUGAACAACAGGUGAAAUGGUGAAAGAAUAAAUGUUUUCCCAUUAAGAUCAAAAGCAAGGCAAGAAUAUCUCCUCUCACUGCUAUUAUUAAGUAUUGUAUUAGAGAUCCUAGCUAGUGAAAUAAGACAUGAAAAAUAAAUAGAAG
rnacentral:lncRNA from 10 species